AGAGUUUGAUCCUGGCUCAGGACGAACGCUGGCGGCGUGCUUAACACAUGCAAGUCGAACGGGCCUGCUCCUUGUGGGUGGGUUAGUGGCGAACGGGUGAGUAUCACGUGAGUAACCUGCCCCCUGCUCCUGGAUAACGCUCUGAAAGGGGUGCUAAUACGGGGUGUGCUGGUGCUGCCGCAUGGUGGUGCCGGGAUAGGUUCCCCUUUUUUUGGGGUUCUGGUGGGGGAUGGGCUCGCGGCCUAUCAGCUUGUUGGUGGGGUGAUGGCCUACCAAGGCGGUGACGGGUAGCCGGCCUGAGAGGGUGGACGGCCACACUGGGACUGAGACACGGCCCAGACUCCUGCGGGAGGCAGCAGUGGGGGGUAUUGCGCAAUGGGCGGAAGCCUGACGCAGCGACGCCGCGUGAGGGACGGAGGCCUUCGGGUUGUGAACCUCUUUCGCCGGUGGAGAAGGCGCCCCCGUGUGGGGUGCUGACUGUAGCCGGGUUAAGAAGCGCCGGCUAACUACGUGCCAGCAGCCGCGGUAAUACGUAGGGCGCGAGCGUUGUCCGGAAUUAUUGGGCGUAAAGAGCUCGUAGGCGGCUGGUCGCGUCUGUCGUGAAAUCCUCUGGCUUAACUGGGGGCUUGCGGUGGGUACGGGCCGGCUUGAGUGCGGUAGGGGAGACUGGAACUCCUGGUGUAGCGGUGGAAUGCGCAGAUAUCAGGAGGAACACCGGUGGCGAAGGCGGGUCUCUGGGCCGUUACUGACGCUGAGGAGCGAAAGCGUGGGGAGCGAACAGGAUUAGAUACCCUGGUAGUCCACGCCGUAAACGUUGGGCACUAGGUGUGGGGGGCCUUUUCCGGGUUUUCCGCGCCGUAGCUAACGCAUUAAGUGCCCCGCCUGGGGAGUACGGCCGCAAGGCUAAAACUCAAAGGAAUUGACGGGGGC
rnacentral:rRNA from 1 species